GACGAACGCUGGCGGCGUGCCUAAUACAUGCAAGUCGAACGCAGUGGGGACGGGUGAGUAACACGUGGGUAACCUCCCAUCAGAGAGGAUAACACUUGGCAACAGGUGCUAAACCGCUACUGAUGGAUGGACCCGCGGUGCAUUAGCUAGUUGGUGAGGUACCGGCUCACCAAGGCGACGAUGCAUAGCGGACCUGCGAGGAGGAUCAGCAACACUGGAACGGAGACACGGCCCAGACUCCUACGGGAGGCAGCAGUGGGGAAUAUUCGGCAAUGGGCGAAAGUCUGACCGAGCAACGCCGCGUGAGUGAAGAAGGCUUUCGGGUCGUAAAAUUCUGUUGUUAGAGAAGCGGUAUCUAAACAAGAAGCAACGGCUAACUACGUGCCAGCCGCCGCGGUAAUAC
rnacentral:rRNA from 1 species